UGGCAUGCCGGAGGUAGCUGCUACCAACAGCAAUUAGUCUUUUACUGUGGAAAGAUGUUAGUCUGGACAGACAGACAGGACCACUUUAAGAAGAUCAUGACCAACUUGAAUAGUCAUCCAUGUUCCGCGGAAGGAUGACGAGAAGUCUUCAGCCGAAAUGGUGUCAAUAUUCACUUGCUGCCUAUGUGUACAGUGUGAAUAAUAGCUGGCUGUCAUUUUGUGUCCACCCGA